CAUCCACGUUCGUAUAUUUUCGACCUUAUUUGUUCAGUCCUAACCUACAUCUCAUGAUCCAAAUGGGGGUUGGACUUUCUCUUUACUAAAGUCAGGAAAUGUUAAAUUUUAUCACUUCUGUUUCUGCCCUUUUCUACUUAUUGAUCCAUCAAUCUAUUCCACCACAUGCCUUAACUGCUUCACGUUAGGAUGCAAGUCAUACCUUCAGGGUGGAAACGACACUUUUCUGUAUAAUGGAGUUAAAAAUAAUUCUUUUACCUGCUUUUUUGCUUUUCUCCAAACAACCUGCUGGAGAAUCUUGUUCUAUGAGGCUUAUUGUUUACAUAUCCCUUCAUUUGGAUUUGGCCUGCACGGCUUCAACUGUUGUUCAGUGAAGGCUGUCAGAGCUUAGGAUUGUUUCUGGGAAUAUUUGCUUAUUUAACAUUUGCUUUGGUUUGCUUAAAAUCAGAUUCAGUUAGGGUGCCAUUUCACAGAACUUUGGAGCAGAGUUCAUUCUUCAACAAAGAGUCCACAAAAAACUUUUACAAGGUUUCAUUGAAGACAAACAUUCUGCAAACUUGGAAAUCCUUCUUCUGAUUUCAAUUUGGAUCACCUCUUUGUGACUCCAAUUUAUACAGCGUUUUGAUCUGCAUGUAUCAUGGAUAAUGUCUGAAGACUUUAAAUGUCGCCGGUGCUUUCGAAAAAUGAGACUGCCGGAAGUGAGUGAACAAAAUGGGUUAUUUACUGUUUUUUUUUAGUGCAGUAAAGUUACUAAAUAUUGAGCUAUGACUGGACAGUACAAACAGAAUGAAGACGAGGACAUGCAAUGACAGAGAGAACAUAAGGUAAAGGGAAACUGGACGAUGACAGCCAUAAAUCCUGUAUGCAUAAGUGUGUUCUUCUGAUGCGACCUAGAAACAGAAAAAUGAAGACUGACCAUGAUUUUUUUUCUUUUUUUUUUUCUUUCUUGCAUUUUUCUUUCCUUCUCUCUUUCUCCUCUCAUGGAGCAGGAACAUCACUCUCUAUUCUGCAGGUCAGAGAGGGAACAAUUAAGUGUGGAGGGCGCUGGGAGUCGCUGACAGGUGAUGAAUGGCCAGGCCGGCUGCAAGUGACAAUAUGCAGACAAGCCGGAUCAUUUGCAAAUGGAUGUGGGGAGAUGGAGGAUGGGUGGGGUGGAUUGGGGUGGUGGAUGGAGGCGAGGAAAGUCAGGGGCAGGAGGAGGGGGAGAGAGAGCUGGAAGGGGGAGAGAGGGGUUAACCCUUCCAGAAUCAUUUCUCAGCAGCAGGAGGAGGUGGUGGAGGCGCAGCCACCUGCCCAGUAGAGAGGCUCAUUUGUUAGAGCUGAUGGAGGCCUGAGGACAACUGGCGGCCAUGGGGAAUACACUGCAGGUAGCAUCAGCACACCACUAUGUUGACCAACAGCCACAAAAUCAGCUCAGCUUGAUUGAAAACAGCUUCCCUCUAGUUAGUUAACUGGAGAUUUCUAUGUGUUUUUACCGGUUGUCAUAGCAGGACGUCAUUAGGGUUUCAUUUGAUGUCGGCCGAGUUGGAUAUAUAUUUAUAAAAACAAACUAGCACAAAUGUUUGCACUUCUGUAGUUUUGACAGUAGUGGAAAGAAGCUAUUAGCUCAAAUGGUAUCUUUGCUCCUGCUACCCAAUUUACACCUUCAUUCAGCCUUUUUCUUUCAGUCUCACACAGUUGAACUAAGAUGUGGGCAGAAGCCUUAUUUAGUCACCUGACAUGUAGAUCAAUCACUUACUUGAUCCCUAAUGCCCUUAACAAGAUCAGUCUGCAGCAGAGGACAUACGAGUUACUCACAUAAAUGUGUUGUCCUUGAUAUAGCUAUUGGCACUUGCAGUAAAACCUCAGGUAGCUUCAGUUUAAAGGUUUUACGUAUUAGAGAACAAAUGAACUUCCGAUAAUUUACAGAUUUUUGUAAAAACAAAAAUACAAAUCUGACCUGUCUCUCACCUGAUUGUGGAGGAAUUUUUGAUCACUCUUCUUUUACAUUUUUGCUUCAGCUUCAACUAAUGAUAGAAUAUUUUGAGCUCCACAUGAAUUCCUCAGUGUACCAAUGAUUUCUCUCAGCAUUGCACACUCUGACUUUAGGGUGAAUUAUAUAGGAUGUCUACUCCUGAGUAGACUGGCAGCUGUCUUAAAUGUCUUCCACUUGUGAAUAAUCUCUUUCUAUGAAGAUCUUUAGAGUUUUCAUAGUUUGGAGAUGAGAUGGCCUUAUUGCAUUUUCCCAGAUUGAUAAUGAAAACGUUAUUUUAAGGCUGUGAUGACUUUCGGUAGAGGCAUACAUUUUACACAGUGGGUGAUUAUUUGAGGUUUCUAUUGGCGUGUCCAAUCAAAAGAGUGACAACCAUUGUGUACAUAUCUAGUUUUUAUGUUACUCAUGUAUUAUUUCCUGUGAUAUUAAUCACUGCCAGUUUUAUUUGACAGGUGUUGGAUUUCUGGUCAGUAACACAUUUUUUUUUUCUUUUUAUCUUUUGCUACCUCUCAUCUUUUCCAUUUAGCGAGUAGUGAGGGAUUGUCAAGUUCUCUUGUUCAUGCAUAUGGACUGACCAUCUGCAACAACACGCAGCAAAAA